GGUCAGGGGUGGCGGCCAGGAGGAGCUAAAUUACGCUCGCGGUCAGGGGCGGAGGCCAGGAGGAGCUCCCCCACGCCCAAGGUCAGAGGCGGCAGCUGGGAGGAGCUGAACCAUGCCUGAGGCCAGGGGCAGUGGCCGGGAGGAGCCAACCCACACCCGAGGCCAGGGGCGGAGGCAGGGAGGAGCUCCCCCACACCGCUGGUGUGGUCAAACUCUCUCACAAAACUUGUUGGAGCCAGUGACUUUUGAGGAUGUACUAUUGAAAGAAAUGAAAAGAUAUGGGACCUGCUUGCACCUGGAGUUUAUUGUAUGAACAGAAAGGUGAAUAACUGAAUGAGAUUUUCACAGGAGACAGCACAAAAGAGUCAAGAGUGAAGAUUGCUGAACUCCUUCCCAUUGUGGCUGAUUCCUGAACUCCAAGAAAUGUUUAGUUAUGGGGAAUAGAAACUUGUUAUCUUCAACAGACCACUCACCUGCUGCCCACUUCUGUGACAUUCUAAUAUCUGCCUCUCCAGACUCUGCUUCCUCCCACCCACCUAGUCACACCUCCCAUCUAUGUCUCACCCUUACCUACAAAGCUGCUUCAAGUUCUCUGGCUUCAUUUUCAUGGAAGGAGCUUACAGGCAGAUGUCUAUUCUGUUUUACUUUUUUCUGUUUUGGGAAUAGUGCCUCCUGUGAAC
ensembl:lncRNA